UACGUAGGGGGCGAGCGUUAUCCGGAAUUACUGGGCGUAAAGCGCACGCAGGCGGUUCGCCAAGUUUGGAGUGACAGUUGUCGGCUCAACCGACAAAGGACUUCAAAAACUGGUGAACUUGAGGACGAGAGAGGAACAUGGAACUCCAGGUGUAGUAGUGAAAAUGCGUAGAUAUCUGGAAGAACACCAAUGGCGAAGGCAAUGUUCUGGCUCAUUUCUGACGCUCAGGUGCGAAAGCCAGGGGAGCGAACGGG
rnacentral:rRNA from 1 species